UAACUUCGCCGGCGACCGGCGCACGGGUGAGUAACACGUGUGCAACCAACCCCGUACCGGGAGAUAACCCGCGGAAACGUGGACUAACAUCCCAUAACACUGUAUCAUCGCAUGGUGAUGCAUUUAAAAUUCCGGUGGUACGGGACGGGCACGCGCGACAUUAGGUAGUUGGCGGGGUAACGGCCCACCAAGCCGACGAUGUCUAGGGGUUCUGAGAGGAAGGUCCCCCACACUGGAACUGAGACACGGUCCAG
rnacentral:rRNA from 1 species